UAGGGAAUCUUCCGCAAUGGACGCAAGUCUGACGGAGCAACGCCGCGUGAGUGAAGAAGGAUUUCGGUUCGUAAAACUCUGUUGUUAGAGAAGAACAGCGCAUAGAGUAACUGUUAUGCGUGUGACGGUAUCUAACCAGAAAGCCACGGCUAACUACGUGCCAGCAGCCGCGGUAAUACGUAGGUGGCAAGCGUUGUCCGGAUUUAUUGGGCGUAAAGCGAGCGCAGGCGGUCAAUUAAGUCUGAUGUGAAAGCCCCCGGCUCAACCGGGGAGGGUCAUUGGAAACUGGUUGACUUGAGUGCAGAAGAGGAGAGUGGAAUUCCAUGUGUAGCGGUGAAAUGCGUAGAUAUAUAGAGGAACCCCAGUGGCGAAGGCGACUCUCUGGUCUGUAACUGACGCUGAGGCUCGAAAGCGUGGGUAGCAAACAGG
rnacentral:rRNA from 1 species